CCUGUGGUUCUGUUUUGUUGGCUUCUGGAACCGCGGUAAUGAUUAAUAGGGAUAGUUGGGGGCAUUUGUAUCUCGUAGCUAGAGGUGAAAUUCUUGGAUUUACGAGCGACAAACCUAUGCGAAAGCAUUUGCCAAGGAUGUUUUCAUUGAUCAAGAACGAAAGUUAGGGGAUCGAAGAUGAUUAGAUACCAUCGUAGUCUUAACCAUAAACGAUGCCGACUAGGGAUUGGGCGAUGUUGUUUCUGACUCGUCCAGCACCUUCAGAGAAAUCAAAGUUUUUGGGUUCCGGGGGGAGUAUAGUCGCAAGGCCGAAACUUAAAGGAAUUGACGGAAGGGCACCACCAGGAGUGGAGCCUGCGGCUUAAUUUGACUCAACACGGGGAAACUCACCAGGUCCAGA
rnacentral:rRNA from 1 species